rnacentral:rRNA from 1 species
AGAGUUUGAUCCUGGCUCAGGAUGAACGCUGGCGGCGUGCCUAAUACAUGCAAGUCGAGCGAACGGACGAGAAGCUUGCUUCUCUGAUGUUAGCGGCGGACGGGUGAGUAACACGUGGAUAACCUACCUAUAAGACUGGGAUAACUUCGGGAAACCGGAGCUAAUACCGGAUAAUAUUUUGAACCGCAUGGUUCAAAAGUGAAAGACGGUCUUGCUGUCACUUAUAGAUGGAUCCGCGCUGCAUUAGCUAGUUGGUAAGGUAACGGCUUACCAAGGCAACGAUGCAUAGCCGACCUGAGAGGGUGAUCGGCCACACUGGAACUGAGACACGGUCCAGACUCCUACGGGAGGCAGCAGUAGGGAAUCUUCCGCAAUGGGCGAAAGCCUGACGGAGCAACGCCGCGUGAGUGAUGAAGGUCUUCGGAUCGUAAAACUCUGUUAUUAGGGAAGAACAUAUGUGUAAGUAACUGUGCACAUCUUGACGGUACCUAAUCAGAAAGCCACGGCUAACUACGUGCCAGCAGCCGCGGUAAUACGUAGGUGGCAAGCGUUAUCCGGAAUUAUUGGGCGUAAAGCGCGCGUAGGCGGUUUUUUAAGUCUGAUGUGAAAGCCCACGGCUCAACCGUGGAGGGUCAUUGGAAACUGGAAAACUUGAGUGCAGAAGAGGAAAGUGGAAUUCCAUGUGUAGCGGUGAAAUGCGCAGAGAUAUGGAGGAACACCAGUGGCGAAGGCGACUUUCUGGUCUGUAACUGACGCUGAUGUGCGAAAGCGUGGGGAUCAAACAGGAUUAGAUACCCUGGUAGUCCACGCCGUAAACGAUGAGUGCUAAGUGUUAGGGGGGUUUCCGCCCCUUAGUGCUGCAGCUAACGCAUUAAGCACUCCGCCUGGGGAGUACGACCGCAAGGUUGAAACUCAAAGGAAUUGACGGGGACCCG